ACGACCUUACUUGAACAGGAUCUGUUCUAUAGGCUCGUACCUCUGUAUCCUUGAUUACUAAGGAGACAGGAACUAAAGUCUGGUGGAUGAAUCGUGGCCGUGUGAUCAGAGCGUGAUUAAUGGCUUUGCUGGGUCCUUUGCUUGGAUCCAUCAAGAGCUGUAGAGGAUCGUUCUCAGUUGGGCGCGUUCCGGCUGGGAUGGUCACACGGCUAUCUGACAGACU